AGGGAGACCUACACCCCUCAAAUCUUGAAAGCAAAAUGCAAAUAGAGAUUGAGAUGGUCAAACCGAGGUCGGUCGCGUUUGCUUGUUUUGAGAGAGCUUUAAACUGGGAUGUGGUUCGUAUUGGGGGUAUUUUGAGAGUUCGGACAACGUGACAUUGAUUGUCAGACUGCUGAGAUUAUUCUCAGCCAGAACCUUGAAAACUGCAUAGUAACGCGAAAUUAGCAGGCAGACACAGACAUUCUUUAGUGGAUGUUGUAGUGAAUGCAAAAUUGUGAAAGACCAAAUGAAUUGAGUGUCAAGCGAUAAUCCG
rnacentral:misc_RNA from 1 species